GAGUUUGAUCCUGGCUCAGGAUGAACGCUAGCUACAGGCUUAACACAUGCAAGUCGAGGGGCAGCAUGGUCUUAGCUUGCUAAGGCCGAUGGCGACCGGCGCACGGGUGAGUAACACGUAUCCAACCUGCCGUCUACUCUUGGACAGCCUUCUGAAAGGAAGAUUAAUACAAGAUGGCAUCAUGAGUCCGCAUGUUCACAUGAUUAAAGGUAUUCCGGUAGACGAUGGGGAUGCGUUCCAUUAGAUAGUAGGCGGGGUAACGGCCCACCUAGUCUUCGAUGGAUAGGGGUUCUGAGAGGAAGGUCCCCCACAUUGGAACUGAGACACGGUCCAAACUCCUACGGGAGGCAGCAGUGAGGAAUAUUGGUCAAUGGGCGAGAGCCAGAACCAGCCAAGUAGCGUGAAGGAUGACUGCCCUAUGGGUUGUAAACUUCUUUUAUAAAGGAAUAAAGUCGGGUAUGGAUACCCGUUUGCAUGUACUUUAUGAAUAA
rnacentral:rRNA from 1 species